GUGCCAGCAGCCGCGGUAAUACGAAGGGAGCAAGCGUUGUCCGGAUUUAUUGGGCGUAAAGAGCGUGUAGGCGGCCAGACAGGUCCGUUGUGAAAACUGGAGGCUUAACCUCCAGACGUCGAUGGAAACCGUCUGGCUAGAGUCCGGAAGAGGAGAGUGGAAUUCCUGGUGUAGCGGUGAAAUGCGCAGAUAUCAGGAAGAACACCCGUGGCUAAGGCGGCUCUCUAGUACGGUACUGACGCUGAGACGCGAAAGCGUGGGGAGCGAACAGGAUUAGAAACCCUUGUAGUCC
rnacentral:rRNA from 1 species